rnacentral:lncRNA from 1 species
GAGAUGACAGAUGCCCUCACCAACAGGAACGCAGACCCUGUGAAGUUUACUGCGUCUAAGGAAACAAAAGCUGCAGGGAACAUUCCACAACCUGUGCCAAGAAAUACCUUUCCAUCCCAGAGGCCAGUCAGUUACGUCUCUCCAGGCUCUACAGGCAUGCCAUCUUUUAUAAGCAAUGGAGGCACAAAACGGACAGUAUCAGAGCAGGACAAACUUCAUGCCAGCCAAGCCAGCCAAGCAUGGCAACACUUGGGCCGACCAGAGACGUAUCAAGGUCAUUUUAAGAAAAAAGUGGCUGCUGAUGUGCUCUUUGAUAGUUUUGCGUCUGGGGGAAGAGUCAACUGCAAUCAGUUUUUUGAGGCCCUGUGGAGCUCAGGAAUCAUCCGAACAGACCCACGGAUUAAAGACUGCUACAGCCUGAUGCGGAAAUUACAGGAAGCAGAUGGAACUGUUGACAGGAGCACUUUUCACAGGCCAGACAGAAUUUUGAUACCAAUAGUCAAAUUUAAAGCAUCUUAAAUAUAAAUACUAAACACGCCUAAUCUAUUAUGCUGCUAAUAUACUUCAUUUGUGAACAUCUUGCAGGUGCGUGACUGGCUUUGUGUCUUUCAUCCUGAAGGCAUUGCAGGGAAGAUUUGUCAUUCCAGAUUUCUCUACAUUCACAGAG